UUAUAUACAGUUGGAUAACCCUUCAAUAAACCCAAUAAAUAUAAAGAAACAUAGUUUGCACCAUAUCCUUUCUAUAGAGCUGUUUUUAUCCAUCUAUAUACCGAAAUCACAGUAUGCACCAUGAGUGUAGGACAGUGUCCAGUGAUCACAAAUUGACUCAACUUAGAGGAUUGUUGUAUGUGGUGACCCUAGUAGGAAUAUGUGGUGACCACAUUAGACUUCCUGCAAGUCCCUGUGCAAACUUAUUCUGGAAAUGUGAAGUGUGUGUUGGUGUUGGUUGGGG
rnacentral:lncRNA from 1 species